GUGGAUGUGUGUCUUUGGGUGUCCAUCAGUCUGUCCUAGACUGUGUGGCUUUGAGUGUUUGCCUCUGAAUCAUUGGCAGUGGAUCUUUGUUGUGCACAGGAUGGACUGUGGCUUGUUUGGGCAGUGAGAAAGGAGGCAGCCUGAGAGGUCAUCUCCCCCUGCAGACCCGGGUUUCAGGGAAAAGGAACCAAUAAGUGGGGUUUUUUUCAUGGACCUGGGCUGUUGCGACAGUGAUUUUGUCUGACAUCCAUAGCCUGGCUAUGAGGCUGAGAGGCUGAGGACCAUCAAUCUGGCUCAUGGUUUCUCUGACCAGGGAGAGAAUCGAGGCCUCAAGUUUGAUGGAAAAGUGCUGGAUUUGAAGUCAAAGACCUGUAUUUAAGUUCCAGUUCGAACACUCACUUCAUGCCUCUGGGCAAGCAAUAUACCUUCUCUUAGCCUCCAUUUCAUCAUCUGUGAAAAAGGGAUAAUUACAGCAGCCUUACUUAAAAGAGUUACUUAAAAGACCAAGUGAGAGAAUGUGUAUAAAGGAAGUUGUGUAAACUUCGAGGCAUCAUAAAGAUAUGAAAUUACUAUUGUUGUGGUUACUGAUAAUGACUAGAACUCAGGCUGAAUAAACUCAACAAGUCAUGAAAGC